UACGAGGGGGGCAAAUGUUGUUCGGAAUCACUGGGCGUAAAGGGAGCGUAGGCGGGUUUUUAAGUCAGGUGUUUAAUCCCGGGGCCCAACCCCGGACAGGCACUUGAAACUGGGAAUCUUGAAUAGUGGAGAGGUCAGUGGAAUUGGGGGUGGUAGCGGUGGAAUGCGUAGAGAUCCCCAAGAACACCCGUUGCGAAGGCGGCUGACUGGACACAUAUUGACGCUGAGGCUCGAAAGCAUGGGGAGCAAACAGG
rnacentral:rRNA from 1 species